rnacentral:rRNA from 1 species
CCUACGGGGGGCAGCAGUAGGGAAUUUUCGGCAAUGGGGGGAACCCUGACCGAGCAACGCCGCGUGAACGAAGAAGUUAUUCGUAAUGUAAAGUUCUUUUAACAGGGAAGAAAGAGAAAUUUGACGGUACCUGAAGAAAAAGCAUCGGCUAACUCCGUGCCAGCAGCCGCGGUAAUACGGAGGAUGCGAGCGUUAUCCGGAUUUAUUGGGUUUAAAGGGUGCGUAGGCGGAAUAUCAAGUCAGCGGUAAAAAUUCGGGGCUCAACCCCGUCGUGCCGUUGAAACUGAUGUUCUUGAGUGGGCGAGAAGUAUGCGGAAUGCGUGGUGUAGCGGUGAAAUGCAUAGAUAUCACGCAGAACUCCGAUUGCGAAGGCAGCAUACCGGCGCCCAACUGACGCUGAAGCACGAAAGCGUGGGUAUCGAACAGGAUUAGAUACCCCAGUAGUC